rnacentral:rRNA from 1 species
AUGAUAUUCCCUUCCUGGUCGGGUUUUGUUUUUUCGUUUUGCAUUUUGUUCAUGUCAUGCAUCUCAUACCAUGUCAUCAUGUGCACUGCAUUUGCAUACGUGUUCGUCUUAGGCAUCCGAGCAUUUUCCCCGUUGUCCGUUUUGCAAUCCGGCAUUCCCACCUCCUCCGGCGCACCCCUCUUGUUUUGUUUUCGUGAGCGGGUGUUGAACGUUCUCGGAAUGGACCGAGGCUUGUCAAGUGGCCUUGGUAUACCACCGGUAGACCACCGGUCAAGUUUCGUUCCAUUUGGAGGUCGUUUGGUACUCCAACGGUUAACCAGGUAA